UGCCAGCAGCCGCGGUAAUACGGAGGGUGCAAGCAUCAAUCGGAUUCACUGGGCGUAAAGGGUGCGUAGGUGGCUGGGAAAGUUUGAUGUGAAAGCUCCGGGCUUAACCCGGAAAAUGCAUUGAAUACUACUCAGCUAGAGGAUCGGAGGGGAAACUGGAAUUCUUGGUGUAGCAGUGAAAUGCAUAGAUAUCAAGAGGAACAUCAGUGGCGAAGGCGAGUUUCUGGACGAUUCCUGACACUGAGGCACGAAGGCUAGGGGAGCAAACAGGAUUAGAUA
rnacentral:rRNA from 1 species